rnacentral:rRNA from 1 species
GACGAACGCUGGCGGCGUGCUUAACACAUGCAAGUCGAGCGAGACCCAACCGGUGGCAACACCGGGGAAGAUCGAGCGGCGAACGGGUGAGUAACACGUGAGCAACCUGUCCCGAAGACCGGGAUAACACCGGGAAACCGGUGCUAAUACCGGAUGCCCCCAUCGGGCCGCAUGACUCGAUGAGGAAAUGAAUUUCGCUUCGGGAGGGGCUCGCGGGCUAUCAGCUUGUUGGUGAGGUAACGGCUCACCAAGGCGA